rnacentral:rRNA from 1 species
ACGCUCGACACCUACGGAGGCAGCAGUAGGGAAUCUUCCACAAUGGACGCAAGUCUGAUGGAGCAACGCCGCGUGAGUGAAGAAGGUCUUCGGAUCGUAAACUCUGUUGUUAGAGAAGAACACGAGUGAGAGUAACUGUUCAUUCGAUGACGGUAUCUAACCAGCAAGUCACGGCUAACUACGUGCCAGCAGCCCGUAGUAUNGNGGCGNNGAGAG